GACGAACGCUGGCGGCGUGCCUAAUACAUGCAAGUCGAACGGAGUGGGGACGGGUGAGUAACACGUGGGUAACCUCCCAUCAGAGGGGAUAACCAUUGGAAACAGGUGCUAAACCGCUACUGAUGGAUGGACCCGCGGUGCAUUAGCUAGUUGGUGAGGUAACGGCCUACCAAGGCCACGAUGCAUAGCCGACCUGAGAGGGGGAUCGGCCAAACGGGGACGGAGACACGGCCCAGACUCCUACGGGAGGCAGCAGUAGGGAAUCUUCGGCAAUGGACGAAAGUCUGACCGAGCAACGCCGCGUGAGUGAAGAAGGUUUUCGGAUCGUAAAACUCUGUUGUUAGAGAAGCGGUAUCUAACCAGAAAGCCACGGCUAACUACGUGCCAGCAGCCGCGGUAAUUC
rnacentral:rRNA from 1 species